rnacentral:misc_RNA from 1 species
CAGGGUCUAACGACUGCCCAAAACCAACCGUGCUCCUUUCCUUUUAUCUUGCUUCGGCGAUCGCCUGCUGGGGAGGCCUUCCGGCCGGGCUUCGUGCCCGGUGGUUGCCGAAGCAAACCAAUCCAAACUUUAUUACUUUGUAACGUAUCUUCUGAGAACUUUCUACAAGAAAAUUCA